GAAAACCAUCAUCCACGCGCCCCCACGCGCCGGCUAUACCCUCGGCGCGUGAGCCCACGCGCAGGCGCGUGAGGGCAGUUCCGGCUUGUUUUUCAGUUCGCUCCUUCAGGACAGUUUGGUCGACCUUCAAUUCCGACCCUACCCAUACAUUUUUCGUUCGAUUCCGACAACUUUCAAUUUUUUCCGGCAACUUUAUUGACUUUUCCGGCAGCUAUAGUACUUUCCGGCCAAAAUUUCUUCAGGACAGUUUGCUCCACCUUGAAUUCCGAGCCUAUCCAUAUUUUUACUU
rnacentral:lncRNA from 1 species